GGAUCCAGACUUUGAUUCUGGCUCAGGAUGAACGCUGGCGGCGCAUUUAAGACAUGCAAGUCGAACGAAAAUUUACGCUUAAAGAGUUGAUUAGUUUACUAAGAGAUGAUUUAUUGUAAAUUUUAGUGGCGGACUGGUGAGUAAUACAUAGGUAAUCUGCCUUUUAGAGGGGAAUAACUAGGAGAAAUCCUAGCUAAUACCGCGUAAGACCACACUUAGGCAUCUAAGAGAGGUCAAAGGAGUAAUCCGCUAAAAGAUGAGCCUGUGGCUGAUUAGUUAGUUGGUGGGGUAAGAGCCUAUCAAGACGAUGAUCAGUAGCCGAGCUGAGAGGCUGGCCGGCCACAUUGGGACUGAGAUACGGCCCAGACUCCUACGGGAGGCAGCAGUUGGGAAUAUUGGACAAUGGAGGAAACUCUGAUCCAGUGACGCCGCGUGAAGGAAGAAGGUCUUCGGAUUGUAAACUUAUUUUAUCAGGGAAGAAGAAAGUGACAGUACCUGAAGAAAAAGGACCGGCAAACUACGUGCCAGCAGCCGCGGUAAUACGUAGGGUCCAAGCGUUAUCCGGAUUUACUGGGUGUAAAGGGCGAGUAGACGGCGCUGUAAGUCAGCUGUGAAAACUUAGGGCUCAACCUUAAGCCUGCAGCUGAAACUGUAGUGCUAGAGUGCAGGAGAGGUAAGCGGAAUUCCUAGUGUAGCGGUGAAAUGCGUAGAUAUUAGGAGGAACACCAGUGGCGAAGGCGGCUUACUGGACUGUAACUGACGUUGAGGCGCGAAAGUGUGGGGAGCAAACAGGAUUAGAUACCCUGGUAGUCCACACCGUAAACGAUGGAUACUAGGUGUAGGCGAGAUAUCGUCUGUGCCGGCGCAAACGCAAUAAGUAUCCCACCUGGGGAGUACGGCCGCAAGGUUGCAACUCAAAUGAAUUGACGG
rnacentral:rRNA from 2 species